GACGAACGCUGGCGGCGUGCUUAACACAUGCAAGUCGAGCGGUAAGGCCCCCGUUCGGGGGUACACGAGCGGCGAACGGGUGAGUAACACGUGAGCAACCUACCCUCAACUUCGGGAUAAGCCUCGGAAACGGGGUCUAAUACCGGAUAUCACUUCCUGCCUCAUGGUGGGGGUUGAAAGUUCGUGGCGGUUGGGGAUGGGCUCGCGGCCUAUCAGCUUGUUGGUGGGGUAAUGGCCUACCAAGGCGUCGACGGGUAGCCGGCCUGAGAGGGCGACCGGGCCACACUGGGACUGAGACACGGCCCAGACUCCUACGGGA
rnacentral:rRNA from 1 species